UACGUAGGGUGCGAGCGUUAAUCGGAAUUACUGGGCGUAAAGCGUGCGCAGGCGGUUUUGUAAGCCAGAUGUGAAAGCCCCGGGCUUAACCUGGGAAUGGCAUUUGGGACUGCAAGGCUGGAGUGUGGCAGAGGAGACUGGAAUUCCUGGUGUAGCAGUGAAAUGCGUAGAUAUCAGGAGGAACACCAAUUGCGAAGGCAGCUCGCUGGGACGUUACUGACGCUGAGACGCGAAAGCGUGGGGAGCAAACAGG
rnacentral:rRNA from 1 species